rnacentral:rRNA from 1 species
CCUACGGGUGGCAGCAGUGGGGAAUAUUGCACAAUGGGGGAAACCCUGAUGCAGCGACGCCGCGUGAGUGAAGAAGUAAUUCGUUAUGUACAGCUCUAUCAGCAGGGAAGAAAAUGACGGUACCUGAGUAAGAAGCCCCGGCUAACUACGUGCCAGCAGCCGCGGUAAUACGUAGGGGGCAAGCGUUACCCGGAUUUACUGGGUGGAAAGGGAGCGUAGACGGCAGUGCAAGUCUGGAGUGAAAGGCGGGGGCUCAACCCCCGGACUGCUCUGGAAACUGUACGGCUGGAGUGCAGGAGAGGUAAGUGGAAUUCCUAGUGUAGCGGUGAAAUGCGUAGAUAUUAGGAGGAACACCAGUGGCGAAGGCGGCUUACUGGACUGUAACUGACGUUGAGGCUCGAAAGCGUGGGGAGCAAACAGGAUUAGAUACCCCUGUAGUC